rnacentral:rRNA from 1 species
UACAGAGGGUGCGAGCGUUGUCCGGAAUCACUGGGCGUAAAGGGCGCGUAGGCGGCUUGAUAAGCGUGCGGUGAAAGCCCGGGGCUCAACCCCGGGUCGGCCGUGCGAACUGUCGAGCUGGAGCACUGUAGAGGCAGGUGGAAUUCCGGGUGUAGCGGUGGAAUGCGUAGAUAUCAAGAGGAACACCUGAGGUGAAGACGGGUUGCUGGGCCGACACUGACGCUGAUAGCGCGAAAGCCAGGGGAGCAAACGGG